UACAGAGGUCUCAAGCGUUGUUCGGAUUCAUUGGGCGUAAAGGGCGCGUAGGCGGUCAUUUAAGUCGGCUGUGAAAUGGUUCGGCUUAACCGGAUCAUGCGGUUGAAACUGGAUGACUGGAGUGCUGGAGAGGCAAGUGGAAUUCCUAGUGUAGCGGUGAAAUACGUAGAUAUUGGGAAGAACACCGGUGGCGAAGGCGACUUGCUGGCCAGCAACUGACGCUGAGGCGCGAAAGCCAGGGGAGCAAACGGG
rnacentral:rRNA from 1 species